UGGGAAUUUUGGACGAAUUGGGCGAAAGCCUGAUCCAGCAAUGCCGCGUGUGUGAAGAAGGCCUUCGGGUUGUAAAGCACUUUUGUCCGGAAAGAAAUCCUUGGCUCUAAUACAGUCGGGGGAUGACGGUACCGGAAGAAUAAGCACCGGCUAACUACGUGCCAGCAGCCGCGGUAAUACGUAGGGUGCAAGCGUUAAUCGGAAUUACUGGGCGUAAAGCGUGCGCAGGCGGUUUGCUAAGACCGAUGUGAAAUCCCCGGGCUCAACCUGGGAACUGCAUUUGGUGACUGGCAGGCUAGAGUAUGGCAGAGGGGGGUAGAAUUCCACGUGUAGCAGUGAAAUGCGUAGAGAUGUGGAGGAAUACCGAUGGCGAAGGCAGCCCCCUGGGCCAAUA
rnacentral:rRNA from 1 species